ensembl:lncRNA
AUGCUUUGCAGCAGCAGUAUCUGCAGAGGCCUCCUCCUGGUGCUCCUAGGUCUCUUGGUAGCCUUUGUACACACAGAGACAGUCCUAGAUUCUGCCUUAACAACCAGAGACAACCCUGACACCAUGUCUGGAGAACCACCCAGUGACGUCAUCACCAAAAGACCUUACCAGGACGUGACGAUUCGACAGUUCGUCACCCCUGACUACGACCAUCCCACACCCUACCCGGGCAUCAUAGAGGAGGGGCUCCUGGGGCCGGGGGCCAUCACAGCCAUCGUUAUAGCCGUCUUCCUCGGAGCGUCUGUCCUCCUCGCCCUCAUCGUCAUCACGCUCAGGAAGUUCACCGCUUCCUAGAGUGUAUGCAUCCCGUCCUGUGUGCGUGUGUGUGAGAUCGUGCGUGCGUGUGUGUGGUUUGUACAUCUUGAAUGUUAGUAUGUCAGUGUUUAUCUUCUGCCUCAUCUCAAUCUUUGAACUUCCCUCAUCUUUUAAAGAUGACUUGUGCCUUUUGCUUUGCUGUAGCUGCUGAACAUUGCGGCAGGUCCCUUGACUACAGAUUUGAACGCACCUGUACUGUUGCUCAACAUGUCCUCUUGUAACAUAUAAUGUUAGAAACUGGCUGGUUCUCCCAGUGCAGCCUUUUACUAUUUUUUCUAAAUCUUACUUGCUCUAAGUUUUGAACGCCGAGAUUUUUGUGCCUACAUGUGGGUGUUUCACAGUGAUUUUUACGUGUGCCAAAAUCAUUUCUUAAAUAUUUCCUUGGAGUAAGGGUUAGUGUGUACAGGUUUUGAAGUUUGUACUGCACCAUUUACAAACAUUUGUAGAGUCAAAAUAAGAAUAAAAACCUUCUUAAUAUGGUUUCUCCAACUAAUGUAAACAAGCCAGCUGGGUUGUUUGUUGUACCUGCAGAGCAAACAUGAAUUUAGAGUGGUGGAUAAAUGCGUGUGUGCACGUAAGUGUGUGUUGUUCUGCUAUUUGAUUCCUAUUCUGAAAUUUAAGUUGAAUAAAUGGAUCUAAUAGAUCACAUGCCAAAUCGUUUUUUUAACACAUGACCACUGAGUAAACAGGGUAAAUAGUUAUGUUUAUGGAGGUCUUUUUUAAUGAUUAUGACCAUUUAGGUUUGUCUUUGUGUCAAGAUGUUUUCAUGCCAACAUGUUCUAAUAUUGCUGUUCUGUUAAAAUUUACUUAAAUAAGGUAAAAUAUGUGAAGGAUUGAACCUGUUUAAGAGAAAUCACUGACUUUCACAACAGUAGGUGGCAGUGUGGAUGUCAGUUUCACUCACAUUUACAUAAAAAAAAAAAAGUUUUUCCCAAAAAUGAAAGCAACACCUUAUUGAAUUACACUAAUUUUAUACAAUAAGUGGCCUGUACAAUACAAUCUUAUAUUAAAUAAACAAUACAAUAAACAUUCCUGGUUUAUCCUGAUUUGACAAUACGCUACUGCUGACUUCCAACUGUUAUAUGUCCCAGAUUAAAUGCAGCAACAACAUCUUCUCACACUUUAAAUACAGUUAAGUCAUCUCAGCACCUGAAACCAGGAAACCCUCAAACAUAAUCACAGACAAAAUCUUCAACUGCAGUUUCUCACACACUUGAAAGAAUGAACGCUUUCGGUCUUUUUGACAGAAGGACAGGAAGGAAAAUUUCCUAAUGCUAUUACCAGCACCAGUUUAGACAUCACAAUAUCAGCGGCGUUAGGCGUAAUUACUCAUCGCUGCAUGAUUUCGAUUUUGAUGAGCUGCCAAUGAAACUUAUCUGUGACGUGAAAAAUAAGAAGUCAAUAUACACAAGGAUGUAAAGGUGCAUGGUGCUUUCUUCAGGCAUCAAGAGAUUACUUUCACCAAAUAUUCCUGAGCAUGCUGAAAAUGAAAGUGAGGCCAUGUUAUCGCACCACCAUCUAAACACUAAAUUUAGCAGUGAACACUCAAGACUCGUGUUUUUCAAGUUGUUUAGUGUGAUGGAAACUCUGGUCUGAGGACACACACAGGCACACACCUACAGAAAUAAUCCUGACGGUCUGGUACUAUUAACCAAUACUGCAGUUUCCUCAGUUUUAGUAGGUCGUACACUGUUCAACAUUUCUGCUUCUGUCUCUUUGAUCUUCAAGCUGUUAAGUUUUUUUAAUUUUUAUUUUUUAGGCAUGGUGUUAGAUAUAGACAUGUUGGUCUGCUUAUCAGUGCGUCCAGACAGAGACGUGAGUCUGACAUUGUUAGUGAAAUGUCAUCACAACUCUUGAGUGCACACUUGUGAAAUUGGCCAUACGCAUUAGUGUGAUCACAGUUAGUGCCAUCAUUGUUUAGUCCUCCAGUACUGUUAUUAAUAAGCAAAUCGCUUUCUGUGUGCCUCUGCUGUACUAUGUGCUAGACAGCAAAGGCUAACAUGCUAAAUAAACAAGGUGUAAACACUGAACCUGCUCCAGACAUAAUGAUAAGGCCUGUUAAUAAUCGUCUAUUGUGUUUUUAAUCACUAAUCAUUUAACACUUUUUUAUUUAUGAAAUGUCAAAAAACCUCUUGUAUCUAAUGAUGCAAUGACAUUUGUUUAAAUAUCUGAAUUAACAAGAAAAAGUUUCCACUCCAUUUGUUAUGCAGUCUAAUAUCUCUUCACACUUAAAACCCAUUGUGGGUAUCACUUCCAUACAAUUUCUUCACAUUUGCAAAUAAAAUUGUUUUAGCAGUCUGCAGUGAUGGUGCAUGAAAGUAUCUUUAAAGAGCUUACAUGAGUAAUUAGUUGUAUACGGGCAAAGCUGUCUGGGCAAGUUCACCUCUGCUUAGAUUUGAAACGGCUCUAAUGCACAUUGGAACACACAUGCAUUAUGUGUGGCAUGACUCAGGAAGUGGUGAUGAAACAACAAAGGUAAAGAAAGCAGAACUGUGUCUGGCACUGUACAGACAGUCUGGCAGACAAACUGAACAAUCAACUUAAGAGACAUUCAGGAGGUAAGGACAUGACUACGUUCUCCACUCUACAACAGAUCUACUCUUUGAGACUUCUAGUGUAGCAGCUAAAUGUUGGUGAUGAGUCAAACAUCUACAACAGCUAUUUUAUUAAGACACUUAAAUUGCAAGCUAGGUGUUGAUUGUAAAUACGCAAUUUGAAAGAAAAAUGAAGGACGUAUAAAGCAAUAGGAAAAUCAGGCCUAAUUAAAAAGAGCCUUUAGCUUGACAACGGCAACAAGGCAACUCCAUAGUCAAUGUACGAUGUAUUUACAGUACACAAGUCUGCCACGUGUCAAUUUUUAACAUGCAGUACGUCUGCUAGAGUGUUUUUGACAAUCUAGCUCACAGCCACAGGGCUGAUAGUACAGAUGUACUUGUGAUAUUUGCACGUAGUGAGACCUGACUCUCUGUACUGCAUUAUGUUUCAACUACUAAACACUCAGACUCUUAUGCAAUAUCUUCUUAGUGUUUCAUUAAACACAGGUGCAUUGAAAACCAGCCAAGUGAUAUUAUAUUUUGAAACUGAAAACACAGCUCGGUUGCUUCAGGUAUCUGAUCUGAACAAGAUCACGCUGUUUCCUUCAAAGUCUAGGUAGUUUCCACUUACAGCAAAGGUAUGAAUAAUUUAUCAGUGUACUUGUACCUGUAAUAUUACUUCUUAUUUAAACGCACAGUAAUUAUUCAACUAAUAUAUACAACAUAUGCAAUGUUGUUGUUUGAGGCCUUCAAUUCAGAAAGGAGAAAAAACAGGUUCACAGCUCAUGUGCCCACACGACAGAGAGUUUUUAAGUGGCUCAGUACAGGAAUGAAUCUUACAUACCUGUUGGUGUGGGAACGGAGUUCUGACAGGAAAUAAACAUUGCUUUCAUAAAUGUUCUCACAACCUAAAGUUGGCUUUGAAAUCAUGACAGAGUUGCUGACAUCAA